rnacentral:miRNA from 12 species
UGACCACCUCGGACAUUGCUUUUG